GAAAGCUUAUAUAUAGACAUAAGAGGGUGGAUAGGUAAGCUAUUUCCUACAAGCCUUAGAAGAACAAAACAUGCAGAAACAAAUUAGUGAAAUGUGGUAGAAAGGGGAAUCCCUUAUUCUAACAAUAUGUCUGCAAUUUGGUUACGCAUGAUUAGAUGUUCUUGGCGGAUGUUUGAUAGGCGGUAGAAAAUCAGGACAUCAACAUUGGGGCGUACUCAUUCCUUCAUUUAAAGCGACUUUAGCAAGGAUAUCUAAUCCUGCAUAAGUAACUUGCAGACAUAUUGUUAGAAUAAGGGAUUUCCCCUUUCUCCACAUUUCGCUCAUUUGUUUCUGCAUAUUUUGUUCUUGUAAGUAGGCUUGCAGGAAGGAAAUAGCUUACUGAUGUGGGUUCGUGUUCAAGAUUGAAUCUUCAAUGGCUUGAGGUGGUGAAACCGAAGAGUAUCCGGAGCCAGGCUAAAGUAAUCGGAACGCUCACAACGGGGUUGCAGGAGCCAUGCUUAUGACACUGGUUAAAGGGACACUUCUAGAUAGGGCUUUAAAUGAGCCUAGCCGAACCGAACUAGGUUGGGCUCAGGCUCGGCUCGUUUAAAAAUCGAGCCGAGCUGGCUCAUUUUUUCUUAACUAGCCGGAAAGUUGGGCUCGGGCUCGGCUCGUCAAAUGCUCGAGCUAGCUCACGACUCGUUUAUUUAACAAAAGUUUAUAGUUUUGUAUUUUUUUCACAUAAUGAUGUACAUAAAACCAAAAAACAAUAAACAAAACAUUAUUUAAGCUAAUAGAAUAAUAAUUGUGGGCAAAGUAUAAAUAAAAUGAACAAAGAUUCUUUGUUACUUACCUUAAUAUAUAUAUUUUUUAAAUCAAUAUUACUAUUAUGACUAUAGCUUAACAAUCUAUUUCUUUCGAUAAAAAAUAACCAUGUUACUAAUUAAACAACAUUUCUUAAAUAUAUUAGAAUACACACACAUAUAAUUUAGUUUUUUAUAUAUCUCUAAAUUAUGGUAUUUACGGAAAAAAAUAUCAUUAUUAUAAAUUCUAAUAACCUAUCAGAGUAUAAUAAAAAUAAAUAAUUAACUUAAUUUCUCAAUUUAAUCAAUGUUAAUAGCCUAGGCGUCAGUUUACAUUAAAAAAUGAUUUUAUCAAAAAGUUUCAGUAACUGUUGGAUUACUUGCUGAAUCCUAAAAAAAGAAACAGAAAAAGAAAAAGCCAAGAUAGAAGUGGAGGGUAUGUUGGGUGUAAUCUUGAUUGUUCGGUCAAAUGAGUAGCGGGUUAGAAGUCGAUUCGGGUCAACAGGGGUCAGCAGAAGUCUUGAUUUUAGGCACAUGUUUUUAGUGUUUUAGCAAGUUAUUGUUAGUUUAGUGUUUUAGGCACAUGUUCAUGGACUUGGUAUUAGUUUGUUAGAGAGUUUCCUAUUGAAUCAGUAAGGUAAUAGCUAUGGGAGUCUUUUUAGUUUGUUAUUUGGAUGCUAUUCUAUUUAAGGCAUGUUUGGUAUGGAAUAAGAUAACCAGCAGUUUGAAAGCUUAUAUAUAGACAUAAGAGGGUGGAUAGAUAAGCUAUUUCCUACAAGCCUUAGAAGAACAAAACAUGCAGAAACAAAUUAGUGAAAUGUGUAGAAAGGGGAAAUCCCUUAUUCUAACAAUACGUCUGCAAUUAGGUUACGCAGGAUUAGAUGUUCUUGCUAAAGUUGCUUUAAACGAUGGAAUGAGUAGCUAUGUAUUUGUUGUUUAUUGCCAUGCUAGUGCCUUCAUAGUUAUGGUCCCUUUCGCCAUUGUUCUGGGCAGGUCUCUCCCUCCCUCCCUCACAUGAUUUCUUCGUUCUUUCUGUUAUAGUUCACUACUUUUCGCUAAUUAUUAGUCUUGUUAAAGGAAAACAUGGCCAAAGAUGACAGUCUCUAUUUUCGUCAAGCUUAUGCUACUUGCACUCUUGGAGCCGGUUAUUGGUUAGGGGAUAAUAUGCGAGGGGAUAAUAUGUUCAGGUGUUGCUUACUACGUCCAAGGGAUCAUUAUGAAAGAAAGAGGUCCGGUUUUUGUGUGCAUUUAACCCGUUAUGUAUGAUAAUUGUAGCUUUCAUGGGAUCGAUUUUUCUAGCCGAGAAAACAUAUCUAGGAAGGGUUCUUGGAGCAGUUGUCAUAGUUGCAGGCCUUUAUAUGGUUGUUUGGGGUAAAAGCAAUGGUCACAAAUAGGC